rnacentral:lncRNA from 1 species
AUGAAUGUCUUUUAGUUAUCUGUGUCAUAGAAUAUCACUCAUCUGUUAUGAAGUAUGACAACUGUCGUCAUUUUGUCUUCGUUUUGUCAAGGUUGUGUUCUGGUCGUUGUUUUCAAUUUAUGGUUGGUUUGGUAUUUUACAGGUGUUCUUUCUGAAUGGUUGGCGAUGGCAACCUUUCUUUCCUUUGAAAACAGUUUUCUUAGGGAUGUUAGCAACUUAGUGAGGCGCUGUACUGAAAUACUUAUAACUCUUUCCCUGGUAGCAAUAGUUAUUA